rfam:Dictyostelium purpureum unplaced genomic scaffold DICPTscaffold_180, whole genome shotgun sequence.
AUCCAUGGCUGGGUGUUAUAACCUGUAAUCCAAAAGAAGCCUUGGGAGUAAGGAUGGGGGAGGUUGGUCAGAGUUAAUGGAAAAAACACAGCAUAAAAGAUGAUCCACUGUUACAGCGGGGUCAACAUCCACAGAGUCCGUAUGGAUUACUGCGAAGGUUGAUAAUGACAGAUCCUAGGUACAGGCUAGCAAUAGAGCACACAAAGAAAUGCGCCUCGUCGGGAGUGGGGGAAAGUCAUCCUAAAUGUGUCCAAAGAUAAUGAUUAGCUAAACUUCAGACAAA